ACAGGAUGAACGCUAGCGGGAGGCCUAACACAUGCAAGCCGAGCGGUAGAGGUCCUUCGGGACCUUGAGAGCGGCGCACGGGUGCGGAACACGUGUGCAACCUGCCUCUAUCUGGGAGAUAGCCUUUCGAAAGGAAGAUUAAUACCCCAUAAUAUGACGAAUGGCAUCAUUUGUUAUUGAAAGCCCCGGCGGAUAGAGAUGGGCACGCGCAAGAUUAGCUUGUUGGUGAGGUAACGGCUCACCAAGGCGAUGAUCUUUAGGGGGCCUGAGAGGGUGAUCCCCCACACUGGUACUGAGACACGGACCAGACUCCUACGGGAGGCAGCAGUGAGGAAUAUUGGACAAUGGGUGAGAGCCUGAUCCAGCCAUCCCGCGUGAAGGACGACGGCCCUAUGGGUUGUAAACUUCUUUUGUACAGGGAUAAACCUAUCUACGUGUAGAUAGCUGAAGGUACUGUACGAAUAAGCACCGGCUAACUCCGUGCCAGCAGCCGCGGUAAUACGGAGGGUGCGAGCGUUAUCCGGAUUUAUUGGGUUUAAAGGGUCCGUAGGCGGGUCUGUAAGUCAGUGGUGAAAUCUCAUAGCUCAACUAUGAAACUGCCAUUGAUACUGCAAGCCUUGAGUGAAUUUGAAGUGGCUGGAAUAAGUAGUGUAGCGGUGAAAUGCAUAGAUAUUACUUAGAACACCGAUUGCGAAGGCAGGUCACUAAGAUUCAACUGACGCUGAUGGACGAAAGCGUGGGGAGCGAACAGGAUUAGAUACCCUGGUAGUCCACGCCGUAAACGAUGCUAACUCGUUUUUGGGCCUUCGGGCUCAGAGACCAAGCG
rnacentral:rRNA from 1 species